UCCAUCCCCUGGAAAUAAGCGGGGGGUCCGGGGGUCCUCCCCCGGGAAAAUUUGGGGUUUGAAGGUGCAAAAAGGUGGUUUUUAGGCAUUUUUCUUUCCUAAAUAUUCUAAUUAUAUUUGGUUACAAUAUAUAAUUUAUUUUUUAUAAAAAAUAUUUUCAAAGAACAAAUUUGUAAAAACACAGUGCUCACAUUACUACGAUUGGACUAAAUGCACCAUGCGCAACAUAUGGGUUAUACCACAGAAAUCAUAUUUUUAAUAUAACUACGAAACUCAAUAUAUUAUUGGAGGGGACGAAAUUGAAGACUUUUAUUAUUGGGAGGGGAAGUGUACCCCCCCCGUCCCCCCCGGUUGCGACGCCCAUGGCUAUACUUACCUAAUAUAACCAACCAUCCACAAUGUUUUAAAGUAUUUAUAAUGCAGCUAACCUAUCCUAAUCGACCGCAAAAUUUAAUGCCACACCGGUUUAUACAAUGAGAUAGAACGGGAAAAAAACGCGAGCAUGAACUUCGGGGAACUUCGGGUGUGGCUCUCUCGUCUGUGAAAUGAAGGCUUCCCGUGCGCGAGUGUUCGUUGCAGCCACUCCAGGCUGCUCUGGGAUCGAACGCCCGACCUUCGCCACACUUGCUCGUGACCCGCCAGGAACACGGCCACCUGUGAGGGAGGGGGGAGGAGGUUGUCCCUCCCAGCAACAGACCGGCUCGCUCAACCAGUUUCUUCGGCACAGCUGGGCAAUGCUGCCAUCUCUCGUCUGGCGACCGAACUGGAGCGAUACAGGGCCGAGCGCUGCAGCUGUCAAGGACAAGGUCAACCCGGUUGCAUCCGUCCGCCGGCAAACGGCGCUGCCAACCGCCACAACGAAAACAUUCCUGUGGCGAACAGCAAGCGUCGUGGACUUAUUUUCAUAGGGAUCGAGGGCAUAUCCGCUCAAAACGAAAUAUAUAUAUAUAUAUACAUAUAUAUAUAUAUAUAUAUAUAUAUAUAUAUAUAUAUAUAUAUAUAUAUGCGUGUGUAUAUAUGUGUGUGUGAGGGGUGGAAGGUUGUUUGUAAUUCAACCUCUUUCGGGAUGAGAAGAUUCCACGGUGCCAAACCAUAAUAAACAAAAACAUUAUUUAUAGAAAAUUCAAAUGUUAAAUAUUAUUAAGAAACACGUUAAGUUAGAUUGUAAUUUUUCUAAAGUUAUAAUUUUCUAUAUUUGAACCACAUGUGUAAAAAAUUUCUAAACUUAUUUGUGAACGAAAAUUAUACAUACCAAAUCAUAAGUGUCUCCCAAAUUAUGUCAUGAGGUAGGAAUAAUGAUUUCAUGAAACUAUGUAUGUCUAGGAAAAUAGAACUAUAGUUGAGUAAAUAUGCAUAGCAUGUGAAUACCUAGCAUAGUUCGGUGGCUAGGUCAUGUGUAUUGUUACGAUUUUCCUGCGGGUUCGUAAAGGAUAGCCCAAUUAAAGAUUUUUAUCACA